AGCAACCUUUUCUUUUGCAACCAUGUUAUCAACUUGAAUGAUGUUUUUUUUGACUCCUUGACAUUCACUUUUCUCAAAAGUGUUCCCACAAGCGAAGCCAUAGCACCGGUGGGCAGAGGAAAUAACUGAUGUUACUGGCCCCGAUUUGAAAAUCUGGCACACUUUUCUGUUAUUAGUUCAAUAUGUGGAGGUACGCUUGAUUUUUACAUCUAAACACCUCCCACCGCAAAGGUUGGGCUGAUUCCCUGGUUGUUGCCUGACUCAAUCAUAAUAAUCAAGCGCUUCUACCGUCCGAUUGGCUAAGCCGCACCGCCAACUCUGUGCCGUUGAAAGAAGCUAUUAGUCCGCGCAAAAUAAAUUGGAUCUUGUCGCUAUGGUAAGUAUCAACCCUCUCUCAACAGUUAUUGUUUUAUUUCGAAAGCAGGCGCCAUUACUUGUAUGUGUGAACCACUUAUGUUAGGCCUACCUUUUGUUUCAGUACCAGCAUAUGAUUUUCCAUCAGUUAAGUUCGGCGUUGCCUGGAAAUAUGAUGGAAAGGCCUGAGCGCUCUACCCGGGCAAAAGGACAGCGGGGGAAUGAAGGAGAAAGCUCCGAUAUGCCUACUGCUGUUAGUAAUAUCGAAAAUUUUCAACCACACAAAGUGCAAUGGAAGAAAAGGUCGGAAGAGCUGCAGUCCCGAAUCAAUGAGCUGGAGGAGGAGAAUGCUUUGCUCAAGCAGCAGCUUGAGCAAAGGCCUUCAGCAAAUCAAGGUGAGAAAAUGGACAACACUGCCACCGACCCAGAGUCAGACACUGACUCGAGUUCCAACUCCAGCACUGACUCCACCGAUUCCAGGAGCAGUGAUACAAGCUCUUCCUCCUCUGAUGGCCGCAAGAAAAAGAGGAAGCACAAAAAGAAAAACAAAAAGAAGAGCAAAAAGGCUUCAAAGAACAAAGGACUUCGAG
rnacentral:lncRNA from 1 species